ensembl:processed_transcript 2210408F21Rik RIKEN cDNA 2210408F21 gene
GUGUCAUGCAAGAAGGAGGCGGCGGCGGCGGCGGCCGGAGCUGGAGGGGGAGGAGGGGAGGAACCUGAUCCUCGGUAGCGAAGGGCUGGAGGCAAACACCGAGCUCCCCCUGAGCCGCCUGGGAGCAGGGAGGGUUCUGCUACCCUGAGGGGCCCUCCCCGCGGGGCAGAGGGGUUUCCUCAGCAGUGCCCCGGAGCAGGGACCGCGCCAGCCAGCAGAAACAGCUAGUUGUUGUCUGCAGUGAAGAAUAAUUGGAAGCAUGGUGCCUGUUUCUUUUCCUGUGGAAGUCACAGCAUCUACUGAAUCUGUGCUUGCCUUGAGGAAAAACGGCAUGGCACAGGAAUGUGGACGCUUUCAACCAGAGGAUUCUGUACGACAGUGUCGGCACACAAGGAGUGUUCCACUGACUGACCUCUUUUUGUUUUCAAAUGAAGAGGAGCCAAGAAUAGGACAGCUUGGGAAGGUGAGCUGCGUAUAGCUCGUCAGGCUGAGCUCAUCCUCGUCUACGGCCAAAUGUUGGUUUCUCAUUUCUAGAAGAUGAAAGAUGUGAUGACUCAGGAAAAACUGGAAUCUUAGUAACUGUGGUGGGCACUGAGCCUUGCUGUCCACAAGAGAAAGCUUGCUGCUCGAGAUGUGAGUCUUCAGAUGUUCCUGCCGCCAUAUCUGACAGCUGCUGCCAAGAUUCCCUGGUGGGAUGGACUCUUAUACCUCGACAACCAGAAGCCCAAGUAAACUCUUCUAUAAAUUGAAUGACUCAUGCUU